rnacentral:rRNA from 1 species
GGGUUAAGUCCCGUAACGAGCGCAACCCUGCCUUAGUACCAGCACGUUAUGGUGGGCACUCUAAGGAGACUGCUGGUGACAAACCGGAGGAAGUGGGGAUGACGUCAAGUCAUCAUGGCCCUUACGGCCUGGGCUACACACGUGCUACAAUGGUCGGUACAAAGGGUUGCCAAGCCGCGAGGUGGAGCUAAUCCCAUAAAACCGAUCGUAGUCCGGAUCGCAGUCUGCAACUCGACUGCGUGAAGUCGGAAUCGCUAGUAAUCGUGAAUCAGAAUGUCACGGUGAAUACGUUCCCGGGCCUU